rnacentral:rRNA from 1 species
UACGAAGGGGGCUAGCGUUGCUCGGAAUCACUGGGCGUAAAGGGUGCGUAGGCGGGUCUUUUAAGUCAGGGGUGAAAUCCUGGAGCUCAACCCCAGAACUGCCUUUGAUACUGAAGAUCUUGAGUUCGGGAGAGGUGAGCGGAACUGCGAGUGUAGAGGUGAAAUUCGUAGAUAUUCGGAAGGAACACCAGUGGCGAAGGCGACUGCCUGGACAAAGACUGACGCUGAGGUGCGAAAGCGUGGGGAGCAAACAGGAUUAGAAAACCCGGGGUAG